rnacentral:rRNA from 1 species
UGAGGAACAUGACCUCGGCGGGGGAUAGCCGGCCCAACGGCCGGGUAAUACCGCGUACGACCACAUGGGGACAUCCCUGAGUGGUGAAAGCAGCAAUGCGCCGAUGGAGUGCCUCGCGGCCUAUCAGCUAGUUGGUGAGGUAACGGCUCACCAAGGCAACGAUGCGUAGCCGACCUGAGGAGGGUGACUCCGGCCACAGUUGGAACUGAGACACGGUCCAGACCUGUACCGGGGA